GGCAAGCUUGCUUAAUUACAAGUUUGCCACUCACCAAAGAGAUGAAGUAUAAAGUCAUCUUUAUAGCUUUGAUUCUCAUUAGGGUUUUCUAAUAGAAAUUGGGUGAAACAUUUUCUCUCAUUUUCUACAUAGAGGCCGGCCACUUAGAGGAUUUUUACUAGCAUCUAAAAUCUUUCUAAGUCAUCCAAUUCAUCUUCACAAGAUACAACCUUGGUGAAGAGACUUAGAGACAUCAAG
rnacentral:lncRNA from 1 species